rnacentral:lncRNA from 1 species
UUUUUUUGCAGGAUCGACCUCGAUUCCUCUGAUUCGCUCACAACAAGCCUCGGUAGCUUGAUGGACAACACUCCAUAAGUGCACUGAUUCAGACUCAAAAGUAUGAGUUAUCUCAAACCGGUCAAACAACUUGCCCCAAGUCUACCGGAUGCCCCUGUUCUGCUUGGGACUUUGCCAUCAUGUCAUCAACAUGGCAUUUGCUUUCA